rnacentral:lncRNA from 1 species
CACCACCUUCAACUCAUAAGAAGCCACCACAAUAUGCUAUUUGGUGUGUGGCAAAGCCUACAGUUCCUGAUCCUAUAAUUCAAGUGGCUAUGGAUUAUGCCUGUGGGUCUGGGGCUGACUGUAAAUCAGUUCAGCCUAAUGGGAUAUGCUUUCAGCCCAACACAGUGUUGGCACAUGCUUCUUAUGCAUUUAAUAGCUAUUGGCAGAACACUAAGAUUGGUGGGGGGACUUGUGAUUUUGGUGGUACUGCUAUGCUUGUCACUGUUGAUCCAAGUAAGUUUGCACUACGUACCAUAUUUGAUUACCUUUGUUAAAGAGAUUAAUUUUCAUAUAUUUCAUUUUUUUUUGUAAGUAAUUUUUCCAUGUAUUUCAUGUUCUACACUGUUAGCACAUUUACAUGUUGAUCUAAUGAUAAAAAAAAAAAAAAAAUUUUGAAUCGGCAAAAUAUUAUAUGUAUGGACCGUAAAAGUUGAUUAUGAUAAAAUUUAAACAGUUGAUUAGGAUAAAUAAUUUAAUUUUUUGGUACAAAUAAUAAAAUAAAUUUUAAUGAAAUUAUAUGACAAAAUUAACACUUCACAUGUUUCAUAUAUAUCGAGAUUCUUUUUUUGUUACAAUGAGAUCCUUUUAUUUAGCUGUUAGUUAAGUCAUUUCACAUCACAUCACAUACUAUAUAUAUCCACACAACAGGCAUAUGCCACUUGAUUUCUUUUAAAUUGGAAUCUAUCCGGGUAGAGAAAACAUGAAUUCAUGACAUCGGUAGCCGGCGUCUGAUUAAAAAUAAAGGUUUUUUUUAAAUUACCUUUAAAGAAUGGUGGGUAAUUUAUCCACCAACCAAUGAAAAUGAGCAAUUUAUUUGUGGAGUCAAGAUAGUUCAUGAAUAUGUGUUUAUGUGGCUAAUGUGUAUUGGUUGGGGUAAAUUACCCAUCAUUCUUUCAUGGGUAGCCUAGUUGCCACCAAAAAUAAAUGGUUCAAAUAAAUAUAUAUUUUAAUUUAUAAUUUAAAAAAAUAUCAAAUUUAAAUAUGAAUGGUUUAAUCUUGAUCAAACAACUAUUGAUGUGCUAUUGUGUGAUGUGUGCUUGAUCCCCUUUCUUCUUUUGAGGUGCAUUCUUCAUUGUCACACUCGGUGGUAUUAGAUUCGCGCACAGUCACUUAAAGCCCACAUUCACCUAUUCAAAACGUUGUUGACUUAUAUGGAUCAAGAUCUAAAGGAAUUUUAAGCUGGUUUUUAAGAUAAAAAACAAAAAUCAAACCUUAAAACCUGCAUUGUUCGAUCUAGAGUCAACGAUCACCGACAUGGUGAAAGUGAAUUUUUGUAACUACAUGGAAUGCAUAUUUCGUAGUCUUUUCAAUUUAGAACUAUGGAUUAUUGCUUCAGACUAACAUUUCCCUCAAAUCCUCGAUUUAUUUGGCAGGUUAUGACAAGUGCAGCUUCAAGUCGACUUAGCUCAUUGCUUGCUAUAAUACAUAGCAUUUGGAGACUUACCAAAUAUUGAAAACUUCUUGUUCCAAUGUAAUUUUUUAUGCAACGAUAAAUUCCCUUACUUAAUUAGAUACAUUAUUUGGAGUUACCUUGAUCAUAGUAUAUUCCGCCCUUGCUUAAUUUUGUGUAGUUCUAUAUAUUUCUAAAAUGGUAGGUUUAAUAUAUAUAUUCAUGACCAUAAUUUGAUAUUUAGAGAUGUAUGUAGCUCUAUUACGUUUCUGGUUCUUUAGUUUAAAACUUAGAUAAGCACCCAUCUUUUGUGUAUUACUAUCAGCGUUAUAAUCCUUGAAAACUUAGAUAAGCACCCAUCUAAAUGCAUAUAAGGUUAAGACAAUACCGACAUCAAAAUGCAGGUUGAAUACAUUAUCCGACUAAAAUCCAUUUCGCUUUCUUCAUGCAUGUGCUCUACAGUUAUCUUCAAUGAAUAAAACAGUAGUUACCUUCAGCCAGCUUGUAAUAUGUUGUCGCACCUGCGAAGCUAAUUUGCAUUCAAAAAAUAAGUGAGAAACAUUUUCCUGCGAAGCUAAUGAAGUGUACGGAAAAAUAAAUAAAAAAUUUACAUUUUAUUAUAACAAAGCAAACAAUUUACUCUAUUGCUUUUUUCUUUAAAAAAAAAUAAAAAAUUUACUUUAUUGUUUCGUGGUGUUUUUUUUAUUCAUUUACUUACUGAUAAAAAACUCAUAUAGACAAAAGAACUGAGUUAAGUGAGAAAAAAAAUGAGAUUAUAGCUAGUAUUGAUAUUUUUACUAAUGUAUUUCGAAAAAUAUUUCAUUCUGUUGGUGUAUAAAAAUUUACAUUAGAAGCAGGGAGGGAACCAUAUUUAACGGUAUAAGAUAGGAAAGAAAAAACAAAUUACUUUACCCAAAAAAAAAAAAAAACAAAUUUUUAUUUGCAAAUAUAAUGCACACAUGAAAUUUAAGAAAUUAUAUGUUACUUCCCUCAUUUCCUUUUUUUAAGUGUUUUUUUAGAAAAUUAACACAAAAAUCACGAAGUGUAUUUUUUGCACAUUUUCUUCCUAGUAUACCCUCAUUUUAAUCCACUAAUAAAUUUCAAUUGUUUUGCAAACACUUUAUCUUUCCAAUAAAUUUAAUAUGUUAUAUUUCUCUCAUUGUGAGUUACUAUUAUCUUUUUCUCCAACAAAUUCCUAUUUUUUUACAUGCACUCUCUCAUAACAAACAAUUGUCAAUUUUCUAAAUAUUGUGUACAUCUUUUCAAUUAUUUUAAGUCAAUAUAAAAAUUAAAUUGAUGAAACUUCUUCUUCUUCAUUGUCAUCUUGUUCUUGUUCUUGUAUCUUGUCGAAUGAGUUUUCAACUAUUGCUCCCUCUUCACAUCUCAUCAUCAAUUUCAACGAGUCUUCCACUUUUUCAUCCUUUUGAGCAUACUACAUGGAGUCUUUUAUUUUUCUUCUCUCAAAUCUUUUAUUUUACUUUGCCCUUGAAAUUUUUAACAAUUGAUACUCAUCUUAGUUAUCGAAUUUUAACUCUUCUUGGAACCAUUGUUUGUAACAAAAUUUUGUUUAAAUUUGAAGAUAACAAGAAACAAACUUUGUUUAAAAAAAAACUGUGUUCCAAAUAGAUAGCAUUAAUUAGUUUUAUUGAAAAAGCUAAAAGUAAUUGGCAAAGGGUAUAAUUGACAAAUCGUAAUUUAAAAUACCAAAAAGACAGUAAAAUAGGAACGGAAAAUUCACCAUAAAAAGACACUUAAAAAUGAACGGAGGAAGUAUAUCCAAAGUUAAUAUGUAUCGAAAAUUGUGUUCAUGUGUAAUUUAUUUGUUGUUUUUUGUUGCCGUUGUUUCUUUAGUGGCACUUUGACUCUGUAAAUACUUGUCGGUGGUUCUCCUUUUGCAUACCUUAUACAGGUUGAACCACUCUGAUUUUAUUAAUAUCUCAUUUUGAUUUGUUAAAAAAAAAUGUAUCUAAAAUUAUAAGAAAUUUCAAAGAUGUUAGAAAAAUGAGUUCCUUGAGGCUUCUUUGAGUGUGACCAAAGAAGAUUUUUUUAAUAGUAGAGAUAGGAAAUAAGAAACAACAAGAAUGUAAAUGUAGGAGAAGAAAUUCAAGAUAAUAUCACAAACAUUAGUAGUGACUGAAAGGGCGCAAACAACACCGCGUGCAAUAUUUCUUACAGUUUGAGUGAAAUUGCAACAAAUAAUCACAAAUUAAUAUUCUAGUUAAGGUUCUUCUAAUUGCAUAAAAAAAAACUCACUUUAUUUCUCAAUUUCUCAAUGUUAUGCAUUCUAGUUAAGGAUUUGUGUUAUUAAAAUUUGAAAGUUAUACAAUGCUAAAUAUACUGAGUAAAAAAAAGUUCAUUAUACAAAAUCAUAUUAAGUUCACAGAAAAUAGUAUAGUGACAAAAAAAUAAAAAUAAUAAUAACAUACUAAUAUGAAGGGAACCAUGGCCUAUGUUAGUCUCCGUUCUAGUUUCAUCCCUGAUUGCAAAGUAUAUCAUAAUGCAAUCUUGUGUAGCUACGAUAAGAAUUAAAUAUUUUCAAUUAUCUACUAAUAGUAAUGAUUAAUUGACAAUGCAAGUACUCUUUACACCUGCAUUGCAUAUGAAUUAGAAGUCACUUUGUUGGCAUAUCACUCCUCAAUCUUGUGAUCCUCCGUUCAAAACUAGCGGUAUGGUAACAAAACCCAUAUAUGUGGGUAUCCGUUUGAACCAAACUUAAAUUGACGGGUUUUUUUUAUUUUAAUUGGGUUUGGGUUUGUCUCGAUUUCAAAAGAUAGAUACGGGACGGGUAACAGGAAUAUAGGUACUCAUCUCAAACCCAUCCUGAAUGUAGAAAAUUAAUUUAUUACCCAUUUUAUAUAAAUAAAAACUCAAACCCUAAAUCAUUUCACUCAUACAAUCAGAGUCUCGGUCUUUCAGAUGACACAAUUAUCAUAGUUCUUUCUUUUCUCCUUCAAUAUUCCACACUCUCAGCCUCUCUCUUCUUCAUCACCAUAGUCAUCGAUCGUCGUCAUCUUUUUACUGAAUAAUGCAUUAGUCAUUACAACUUUGCGCUCGGGGAUAAAAAAUACUUUUAUUUUUAAUAAAAAAAAAUUAUCCACUUCGGGGAUGGGAAUGAGGCGGGGAUGCCCAAACCCGUCGGGGACAUGGAUGAGAUUCGAUUUCUCAUCUCCGCUGAAUAUGGGUAUGGUAACGGGUAAGUAUUUGAAAAUAUGGUAUGAGGACGGGGAAGGUAAAACUCAUCCUCACCCUACCCCAUUGUGAUGCCUAUUCAUGAAGCACAUAUAUUUAGGUAAAUAUUAGAAUAGAAUAACAUUGGAAUGAAAUAAUGACAAAAUUAUCUCUUCACAUGUUUCAUAUUGAGACUCUUUUAUUUACAAUGAGUUCCUUAUUUCGUCGUUAUAGUUUAAGUGAUUUCACAUCACAUACUAUACCCUAACAACAAAGACAUAUUAUGCCACUUGGUUUCGGUACACAUUUCAUUGUCACGCAUCGUCGUCUUAUGGUUGUUGUGCCUUCAAUUUAGUUAAAACUAUGGGCUAUUGCUACAGACUGACAUUUUCCUCAAAAUCAAAACCACCGUUUAUUUGGCAGGUUAUGCAACUUCAUGUUGACUUCCUUCUAUUGAAAACCUCUCUUUCCAACGUAAUUUUUACGUAGCAAUACAUCCCCUUUGCUUAAUUAGUGACAAUAUUUGAAGUUACCCUACCUUGAUCAUCAUCAUCCCUUGCUUAAUUGGUGACGAUAUUGGAAGUAACCUUCAUCAUCUUCUUUGUGGUUUUUCUAGGAAUUCUUUAGGUGUCUUCGAGUUUGGAAGCAUACAAUCAUUUUUGUAAUAAUUAAAAAUUAAAAUUGUUACAAACUUCUAAAACACGGAAGGGUGAUUGAGUUGUCCUCGUGGAGUCAUGUGUCCAAUUGGUUAUAUAUACAAUCAUAUUAUAAUAGUCGUAUAUACGUAAACAUUUUUUAAAAAAAUAUGUACCACACUUUAAAAAUUCACAUAUGCAUUAAUUAAUUUACUUUUAACCUUAUCUUCUAAUAUAUUAUUAUAAAUUAAUUAAUAGUUAUUUUAAGAAAAACCAAUAAACAAUAUAACGCAAACUUGAAACAAAGAGUGAAUCAAGGAGAAUCUACAAAAUAAGUAGAGUAAUGUAUAAUUAAUACAGAAAAAAAAUUAACAAAUAAAAUUUAUCUCACCUUACCAAUGGAGAUUUUAUCUAUUGGAAAUGGUUGAUAUACUUACAAUUAGUUUUCGACACACAUCGAAUAUGAUUAUCUCCAAUUUAUGUGGCGGAAAAACUUAUCACACACGUUAGAAAAAGAAAAAAGUGUUUAUUUUUCUAGUUCCAUGAGUUUCUACAAGGUUUUUUUUACUUCACUAGCUAGUGAUGACUCGCAUGUGAGAUUUGCGAGUGCAACUUAACAUAUGUGAUUUUGAGACCACGAGAGAAGCAUAUAAUUUUUUUUUUUAAAGUACUAUAAAAUAAUAAUAAAAUUUGAACAUAUAUAUGAAAUGUGGUUGUAUCUUUCAGCAUGGAUUAGAACUUUGUUUGUCAUGUUUAUGAGAGUUUAAUCUCUUGCGCUAAAUUCAACCUUAUUGGUGAAUCUAGAUUUUUUUUUUUAUGUAUAUAUGUAUAUAUAUAUAUAUAUGAUGUUUCUAACCUAAUUAAGAGUUAUAUGUUGUAAUAAUAUUAUAUAAUUGUCUUUUUACUCCUUUUCGAUCUUGAGUUAUUUUGGGACGGGAAAAUAUCUUUAUUUUGGUUUUCAUAUAACUAUUCCCCCUUUUUUGUGAAUCCAAAGCAUUGCUUGAAAACUUUUAUUAUCAGCAUUGCUCGAAAGUUGAAACUAUUCCCGCUGGAUUCAAAGUUUUCAACUUCACUAAUUUCUUUGAAAAGAAAAUACUAUAAAACUUCACUGACAUGUUACGUUACAUUUGGAAGCCAGUCAUGUACCGUAAUAAUUGAAGAAAAAAUAUUAUCAGCCGACACUAAAUGCAUAAAAGGUUAAGACAUUACCGAUCCAUGUUUUGUCGUUGAACAAUUAGUCAAAUGUUAAUUGGUUUCAUUCAGAAUUAAGUGUAAAAAAUUUGAUGAUGAUAAUGAAAGAGACUUGAGUGUAUUACCCGACUAAAAUCCAUUUCGCUUUCUUCAUGUGCUCUAGAUCUACAAUUACCUGCUACACAUUCCAAUGGAUAAAUUCUGGUAAUUAUAAAUGUGAUUACUUAAAAUAUAUAUGGUGGCUUCUUAAACUAAAUUAUAUAAAUUGUUAUCGUUAAAAAGCGACUUUUAGAGUUUAUAGCAACAAUCGUAUCUAUUUGUUCACGGGUUUUUGGAUUAAGUUAGAUUUAGGCUAUUGGUCAUUUCAGUCCACUUAUAAAAAUGGAAGGAUGGAUAUUAUUUUAUUAAUUUACACCAUUCGGAGAAUUUCCUUAUUUUGUAUCAAGUCAAAUAAAAAUUAUAGCCUCAACUCUGGCAAAUUAUUUGCAACAUGUUACCCAAUAGUCUACAUUAUAUAUCUAUUAAAAAUCUUAAUAUCUUGUACAAACAUUGUGUAUAAAUCUUUAUUCGAUCAGUUAUAACAAAUUACAUAGACAUAUAGUGUGUUCGAUCGAGAAAAAUAAAUAAAAGAUUGGACAUGAUAACUACAUUUAUACUAUGUGAUUGUAAAACUACAUCAGGAACUAGAUAAACUUAGAGGGUAAAGGACACGAUAAAAAUUGAAAUUAUUAUCAUUUACUAAAUCAGAAUACAACUUUUUGCCUCAAAUACAAGUGAAUAAAAUACCCAAAUAGACUUUUAUCCACCAAGGAUCGUCGUCUAAGAUAAAAAAAAUUGUUCAAUAUAAUUAAAGUUAGUAAUGUGUCUUAUGUCUUAUUCCGUGUUCUUAUGUCCAAUACUUACAUUUUUAGAUAAUCAAACGUAUUCAUCCUGUUGAAGUACAUGGAGUCGAUACAAGUUAAGAACACAGUGGCUUGGGUUAGGUGAUAGAUGUACAAUCGUAUAGCUUAUAGGUCAAUUCUAACAUGUUUCUGAAAGUCAUUUUGUAUGGAGGUGUGUUAUUUGAACAAUCAUUUGAAUGAUAACUUUUGUGACAACCACUAAUUUACAAAGGAAAGUAGAUAGUGACACGGAAACCAAAGUAAUAGAGAGAUAAAGUAAAAAAAUAAUGUGAGUAUGAAAAAUAAAAUUGUCACAAAAUGGUUGUCAAAAUAUCAUUUCUCUUUUGUAUAACAUGCACAAAUAUUUAAAAGAUAAAUGAUAUUUGUAUAACCAUUUUUUUGACAACUUUUAGACAAUUUUCUCUCUCAUAUUCACGUUAUAUUCUUAACCUUUCUUUUCCUUUUUCUCUCUCCUUUGUUUUUAACCAAUAAAAAGAGAGGAAAAAAAAGUUGUCAAGAAAGUUGUUAGCAAAUAGUUGUUCAAAUAUCAUUGCUCGAGUUAAAAUCGUGCUCACUAAACACAAAUGAUUUUUGACGAAGUUUUGUGUAGGCACAAGCAUUUCGGCGCACAUACAUAAAUCAAAAAAAUUAAAAGAUAAAUAAAACAGUCACAUCAAUCAAUAUCAUUUUAAUCAUUUAGUUUUUAAUUUUUUUUUAACUUCAUGGAUGCGUACCUAAAUGUGAGGUGUUGGUCAUAUGACCAAAUAAGAGAUUUUCAUGAUUUUUUUACCAUAAGAUCAAAAAGUUAUAUCAUAUCUCAUUUUAUUACAUUUUUUCUUUAAUGGUGGGGUUUAUUGGUUUCUAAAAAUAUAUCAAUUACCACCCUUUGUUUUCAAAUUCUUUAACCCCGUCACUAAAAACAUAAAAGUAUUUGGAGUAGGUUUAUUUUGUGAAAACAUUUUAAGUUUUCUAGAAUUUAUAUUUUUAAGCAAAAGUGAAUUGCAAAAAUUUAAGCGAGAUUUUUUAUCACAAGUUUACAAUUAUGGUGAAAUCGAAGAACUUAACUACUUAGGUUGUAAACUAAGAACAUUUUAUUAACAAAGAACCAAAAACAGGCAUGAUGGAGUGCAUAGACCAAAAUCUAAAGAAAAAACAUCAAACAGAAAUAAAGGGAAACUAUGUCGAUUAUUAUAACAACAAUCCUCUAAAAUAAAUCUAGGUGGAAGAGUCCACCAAAUAUAACGUUUAGAUUAAAAACCAAAUCCCGCUAUAAAUAUGAGAGAUUACAAUUAAUUGCAUUUGAGAACACAAUGACAAAGCAUUGCGUUGUCUUUUUUUUUUUUUUUUUUUGUCAUUUAGCUUAAUGGCUAUAGAAAUUCACCUUAAAGAUGAAUAAUUGAAGUGUCAUGCAUCGUCUGUUUUUUAAUCUCCACGUGAUAGACCGAGAAUUCUAAAAAGACUUCACCGAUAAUGACGGUGGAGAUUAAAAAACGUUCAUAAUUGCGGCCAACAAAACAAUUUGUGACUAAUAAUUCUAACCUUUUUAAAGAAAAACACGAAGUAGACAAGAAAAAGGAUGUAUCAAUAUGACAAUCAAUGGAAGUCCAAAGUCAACUCUAAAUGUUAACAUCAAAUUGAUUAACGUUGUAACUUGUAACACCUCGUUUUUUCAACUUAAAAAUUUCACAUAUAAAUUAAAGUAUUUCAACAUAAACAGAAUGUCACACUUCUUUUCAUAAAAUCAUAAACAGAAUAAAAUAACUAUUUAUCCUUCAAAUUCAACAGCAUAUCAUUUAUUACAUCGCAACGGAAUGUAUUCAACAUUUAAACAUCUUUUGCACCAAGGCCUCAACAUAAAAUCUCUUAAAGUUAUUCCAACAACAUGUUCAUGAAAGUUCAUAAAAUAAUACGUAAGGAAUAGAAAGCAACAACAAAAUUCUCAUCCCGUUACGUAUCAGGGCACCUAAGACACACGUGAGAGAUAGUCCACUCACGACAACAACUAACAGCAACUAUUCUCGAUCACCUGCAGGUUACCCAUAUGAAGGGUAACAAUUCCAAGCAGAAGGGGUGAGAUUUCAUAUUCAAAUAAUAAUAAGCAUAUAAUUCAUUAAAUGCAUUUAACAACUUAAACUUCAUCAAUUAAUAACAUUAACUCUUCUUAUAAUACUUCGUUAAUAACUCAAUCAAUUUCUAAUCAUCAUUAACUUCAUAUUCAUCACAUUAUAUACAACAUCAUAUAGCACAUAAUAAUCAGAUCAUAAACAUCAUCAUAUAACGACAUAAUCAUCACAUCAUAAACAUCAUCUUAUAACAAGAUAAACGAUACAUCAUAAACAUCAUCUUAUAACAGCAUAAACAACACAUCAUAAACAUCAUCUCAUAACGACAUAAACAACAACGAUUAAUAAAUAUUAAUACUUCACUUAGUUCUUUAUUAACAACUCAUUGACAAAUGACAACUUAACGACAACGACAAUGCGACUUCUACAUCUUAAACUCAACAUAUGCAACUUCAACUUCUUAAUCAUGCAUGUGGUACCAACCAGAGCAUCAAGCCCUCAACAUAAAGAGCAUAAAUACACUCACAGGGCAUCAAGCCCUCAACAUAAGAGCAAAAGCUCACAGAGCAUCAAGCCCUCAACUUCAAAUGAUUAUGCAUGGACUCAAAAACGUACAACUUAGACAAAUUCACAACUUAUAUGAUCCAAUAUCUUGGAAUAACAACUUACAACUUUACAACUUAGACCAACACUUGCAACUUAAUGACAAUAAUGGUUCAACAACAACAGAAACAGCAACAUAAACAUCUUGCAACAUAGCAACAUCAAUAAUAACAAUUUGAAUGAUAUAAACAAUAAUAAUUUCUAUAUCAUACAUUUUCAACACCUUAUAUAAAUAUCUUAAAUUAACCAACAAUCAUUAAUCAUUUGAUUCAGGCUCUCUUUAACUCUAUAACUUAAUAACAACUUCCAUUCUUAUCCAAAGAUCAACUCAAAACAUAGGUUAAAUACUCUUAAACAUCUUAAUUGAACUCAUAGUACUUCUAGUUUUGAGGUUUUGAAUUAUCCCAUAAGUUUUGGAUUAACUUAGAAAUGGUUAUGCUGAAUUUUCAUAAGAUUUCACUAAGACCUCUCUGGAGUAUUUUUUAUCAUAUCUCAAAAACCAAAAAUCAUUUUCAAAUCAAACCAAAGCCAUUGAAAAGCUAAUAAAAUUAUCUAAAACUUUCAUGUUUACAACUAGACACAGUUCAAAGCGGAAAGGGGUGAAAAAUAGUAAAAUAAGAAGGAUCUGAUUCACAAAAAUCGUGCCACGUUUUUAUGCCCAGAACCAUUGAACUUUCGGCCAACAAAAUUGUGCCACGCUUGCAAAAUCGUGACACGUUUUGACAGCAUCAGGUCCAGAAAUCUGCUUUUCAAAAAGUGCAAUUUUCACCAUUUCGCGCGUAAAAUUCAAACCGUUAAUCGGAUUUUGAUGCCGUUUUCGCCUACACGCUCCUGAAACUUGGCUCUAUCAUAAUCUACAGCUAUUUCAAGUCUCAACCAUCCCAAGAAUCAUUUUCCAAAACCUCACAUAAUCCCUUAUUUGCAAAAACGUUUAGACACCGACUUUUCAAGCGAAAAUCUCAAUUUUCAUCAACUCAACCCCAAAACUGGUUCUAAUCAUUGUACUGUGAAUAAUCUAAGGUCUGAACAUCGUUUCUUCAUUAAUUCAACAGGUUUCUAUCAUCUAAUCAACCAAUUACAACUUUUAACCCUAAUUUCCCAAAUUCCCAAAACUACAACCUACAACAUGUUAAAUCCAAUUUUCAGAAUUAUACAACUUAUAAUUAAAGAAUGUUAUCAUUCUAGGUUCUUCUCUUCUAUUGUUUUCUCCCUUUUUCUCCAAAAACUUGUUUUACGCGAUCCUUAUUUUCUAAUUCUAACUCUCCCCUUUUAUAUAAAUCCUUAACCUACUUAUUUUCUCUUAUUUCCAAAUCUACCCCCAAAGUCUCAAUAUUCUAUUCUAAUAUAUAUGUAUAAUAAAAUACUUCUAUAACAAAUAACAAAUAUAUCUCUAUAACAAAUAUAUUUAUGUACCAGAUAACAUAUAUAUUUCUUCACCAAAUUAGAUAUAUAUUUCUACACCAAAUAACAUAUAUAUUAUACUAAUAAAUACCAACAUAUAACAUAACAAAAUAUCACUCAUCAAAAUAAAUCGACUAAAUUAUAAAAAGACAUCUAAAUUCAAUAAAAUAAAUAAAUAUUAAAAUAGGGCGUUACAAACGUGCUUUCUAUCAUCGAUGAACCAGAGCAAAAUUACCAUUAGAUUCAAUCAAUGGUCAUGAUUUAUACAAAAUAAAAAUAAGAACAUUUAAGAAUUGCCUCGCACAAUCUUGCCCCUAUUAAACUUUUUUAUUUUUGGUAUUCAUCAUCUUCAACCUCCAUUCCAAUUUUUUCGUAAUAAAAAAAAAAAAAAAAACUCCAUUUCAAUUUAGGAGCAAUGCUACAAAAGAGAAUUUGCACAAAAAAUUGAGUGUGUCUUCAAAAGUUUACGGGGUUUGCUAAAAAUCUAGUUUAUGGGUUCAAUUGGAGGUGGUGACUAAUGAAAUUGGAGGUUUAACUCAUCCUUAAAAACCAGUUCAUAAGGUGAGUCACGCCCAGCACUCUUUGGGCUUACGUGAAUCGGUAGGUAUUUGGGCUUACGUGAAUCGAUAGGUAACUCUUGAAUUCGACAGGUUCUGAUACCAUAAUGAAAUUGGAGGCCUAACUCAUCCUUAAAAACUAAUUCAUAAGGUGAGAAUUGUCUCCUCUAUAUUAACUCUUAUCAAGAGUCUUAUCUUUUCGAUGUGGAACAUGAGUUUUUUUCAAUAAUGACCUUUAAAGUUUAAACACGCGGCAUCUUUGAAUUCUACAUAGAAAAAAAAAAUAGAAUUAUAGCGUGUUAUGUUUGUUUCUCUAGAGCAUGAGACAUUUCAUUGUUCAGUUUAUGUUGUCAUGGAAAGGCAUAUGAGUGAUGGGUGUACAUCAUCGAUCGGUGGUUUGAUUCUCGUGAAUAGAACAAAAAAAAUCUGAGCUCAAUGGUACAAAUCCUUACGAUGAAAGGUGAGAUAUAGUAGGAUUGUGUGUGGAUAGUUGUAAAUGUUAUCUUUUUUAAUUCUAGUAGAUCAAAAUUGUUAAUCUCAUUUCAUGGUAAAAAUUAAAUAGUCCAUUUGUGAGGGACUCAAUAGCUCCUUCACCUUAGACGUCACCCUUAAUUAAUAAGAAACUAACGGCGAGGGACUCAACUCCCUCACCUUAGACGUCACCAUUGAUUAAUAAGAAACUAACGAUUGAAGUAAAUAAACGAGAAAGAAACUCAAACUUCUUUCUAAACUUUCUUUCUCUUUCGUUCAUCAAGGAGGGGUGGUUUUUGACCUAGAAUCACCCCUCUACAUCUUUUUUCCCAUUUUCUUUCAAUCUAAAUAAGUGGUUUUCACAUACAAGUGUUUCCUUUUGUGUUUUUUGUGAUUUUGUCGUCUAAGUACAACGCUGUGUUGGUCGUCGUCUUGUGCGGCGUUUGAUUUCACGUCUUGUCGCGGCGUUCGUUUAGUUUCUAUUGAAAGAUUGACAUCGGUCAAUUAUAAAUCCAAUCAAUGAUUUGGGUGUGAAUGUUGCCGAUCUAGAAACAUGAGUAUUUCGGUGACUUAGAUUUAAUCAUAUUAGUUGUAGCAUUUUGUCAUUUUAUGUUAUUAACUUGGGUGCUGUGAGUUUGUUCGCAGUUUUACCCUUUACGUUUCUAGCGAUUUUUGUAUCUGAUGUACUCUAUCAAUCUGAAUGAAUGAAUAUCGUUUUGUUUUUAUUAAAAAAAAAAAAUAAAAAAAAAACUAACGGUUAAAAGUUUGCUCUACAUGCCUACAAUGAUAAUAAAUAGAGAUAAUUUACUACAACUUUUAAAACAAUGAUGCUCAUUUAUAGGAACUUUACCAUAAAUAAGUCUCCAAAGAAAAAAUGAUUUGGAUUGAGGAAUUGAAGGUUUCCAAAUAAGCUAUGUCCAUGAUUGAUCAUAUGCAGAAACUUGACAAAAACUAUCAGCAUCCUAAACUGAAAGAGAACCUGAUGAAGAACCCUUCUAAGCAAGAUAUUCAGUGGAAAACUAUACCCCGAUAUUUAUCAAAUUUCAUAUUUCACCAAUUCAACUCUCUCUAUCAAUAGUAUAUAUAUAAAGUAAGAUUUUUUAUGACACGUGUCACUUCCACGUUUAUUCGCAAUAUUUUUAUUUUUUUUCUAAUUUUUCAAAACCAAUAUUUAAUUUGGCAUAAAUAUCUCAACAAACUUUUGAUCUUAUCUAUUAAAUAUUUUACUUAACUAUUUAUUGAAUUCCUAAUAUUUUAUGUAAUAGAAAUAUCUCAACAAAAUUACAUACGAUACCCUUCAAUUAAAAAUCAUCAAUCAAUCAAUAGUAUAUAUAGUAAGGUUUCUUAUGCCACGUGUCACUUUCAUGUUUAUUCGCAAUAUUUUUAUUAUUUUUAUAUUUUUUAAAAUCAAUAUUUAAUUUUGUAAAAAAAAAAUCAAUAUUUAAUUUGGCAUAAAUAUUUCAACAAAAUUUUAACCUUAGGGAUGGCAAUGGGUACCCUAUCCCAAUGGAUAGGGUACUAUAGUACCCUAUCCAUUGGGUACUCAUUGCCAUAAAUGUAUUGGUCUAUUCUCCACUAUCAUAAAUAUAAAGUGAAAUAUAUUGAAUUGGAAAUGAUGAAAGUAGUAUUAAUUAGAGUUAUAAUUGAAAAAAAAAGUAAUUAAUAAUUGUAUUGAAAAGUUAAAUGCAUCAAGAUUUUUGAGACAAUAUUUUUUACAAAUAACUUAGUUAUUAUGGGACGGAGGGAGUAACACUUUAACAUGACAAUGAAAAGUAAAUUUAAGAAUUAAAAUGCAAGAAAUGAAGAGAAUGUUUCUCUAACACAAAACUAUUUUUUUUUUCUCUUUCACUUAUACACUUUUUUAAUGUGUAAAAUAAAAAAUAAAAAAAACUUAUGUAUAAUGAGACGGAGGGAGUAGUUAGUAAGAACAAAGUCGUCAAGGAACCAAUUAACUCUUGAUUUCACUUCCCAAAAACGUCUUGAUAGUGCUAUACUCCCUCCGUCCCAAAUUAUAAGCAAAAAAACAAAAAUCACACUUAUUAAGAAAACUAAAACAUAAAAAUUUGGAGUAUAGUUUUUUGUGUUUUCGUUGGAAAAAGUUUUAUAGGAAGAUGUAAAAACAAUUUUCAUUGGCUAUUGAUUAUGGAAAAAAUGAAAGAAAGAGAAAAUUGAAUGUAAUUUGCAUUUAAUUUUAUGAGAAUAACAAAAAAAAAUCUUGGAAAAGAUUAAAAUUUGUCUUUUUUCCUUAUAUUUUGGGACAAAGAAAAUGAAUUUCUUUUGCUUAUAUUAUGGAACGGAGGGAGUACUUGGUUAAGCUGGAUUGAGCAUUCAAUUCUAAUUUAAGGGCCUUUAAUUUACCUUAAAGAAUAAACAUAGGACAACCAACCACAUAAUUAUUUAUACCAAACAUUUUCCACCACGUGGGUGAUAUCUGGAAGAUGAGAGUCCAUUUAAGUGAGUCAAUGUGACGAAAAAAAAGAUAAAAUGGCAAUUUUAGGAUCGUAAAUUUCUGAAAAUAAUGGAAGUAGUAAUUCUUUUAACGUUUUCAUUGUUUUAAAAAAAUUAUCCAAUCAUAUUUUAUAUGCAAUUUUUGUUUUUUAGAUUAAUUAAACAAUAAAUUUUGUUAACCAGUGUCCUAAGGGUGAUGAUUAAGGAAUUCAAAUGUAAAAGUUUUGUCUUGUAAUUGUAGGAUGUUACAUUUGAUCAAGUAAUGAUUAUACUACUUUUUAUUAAAAACUUACUUGAUUUAGUUGUUUAACCAGUGUGAACACUAGUUAACAUUCUCCUUAAAUAAUUGAUGUUUCUGAAAUAUAAUAUAUAUAUAUAUAUAUAUAUAGCUCAGAUACAUCACUUAUUUAAUGAAGAGUUUUUUUUUUUUCCUUCUCUUAAUUAACGAAUAAAACUAACACUUAUAUAUCUACCAAAAAAAAAAAAAAACUAACACUUAUAUAAUAUAGUUCGGAUACAAUAUAUUUAUAUAAUAUAAUCCGGAUACAUCACUUAUAUAAUCAACAUUGCUAUUUACCGCGACAAGUUUUGUCCCGAAUGCAUCAAGAAUGAAAAUAAGCCAAUUAAAAACAGCUGUUAGUGGAAAUCAUGGGAGGUGGGGGAGAAAAAGAUGGAAAUCAUAAACUAAUGGAUGGAUGGCAUACAUGCCACAUGUGUCUGGAAAAUCUCGGGACAGUUUUAUUUCGUGUGAAAUAGCAUUUUUCCUUAUAUAAUAUAGUCCAGGUACAAGGCAACUAUCACCGGAUGAGGUUUUAUCUUUUUAUUAAUGAAUAAAACUUUUUUUAAGAAGCUAAAUGCAAAAUAUAUUAAAAACCAAAUUAGUUAAGCACAAGAUGUGCCAAACGAAAAACUGUGUAUAACGUCAAAGUAACAAACUCGAUAAAGAAAGAAACCACAAAUAAUAAAAAUCAAAAGCGAAAUUCAGUUUAUGUGUCUUUAGCCACCACAAAAAAUGAAAUUUAAUAUUGUCGAGAAGUUGAUCCUUAGAAGACACGUUGUUAUUGAAAUUUCUCGAGUUUCUCUCCUUCCAAAUUCUCUCCUUCGAAAUAACUCAAAGACAUGUCAGCACACCACUUUAAAACAAGAGCUAAUGUCCUUCCUGAAAGCAUGCGCGCCAAAAAAUUGUUGUGCGUGACAACCAAUAUUUGAUGGAACGACGGUAGUUUUACCCUACCAGAUCAACAAACACCCUACCAGAUCAACAAACAGGGAAAAUAAAUAAAAAAUAUUUUUGCAAAGUAAUUAAACGGAUUCUAAUGUUUAAUAGGAACCGAUCGAGGACAACAUAGAAAUCAUGCUGGAAUUUGAAGAAGAAAUACAAACCUAAUUAAAGAGAGGGGCUAAGUAUUUCCAAGCUGGAACUUGAAAAAGAAAAACCAUGCUCUAAUUAAGUAACUAAGUAAGGUAGUACAUUACAACAAUUGAGAUAAGUACGACACAUUAUGAUGAUUAUGACUUAUGAGCUGUUAAAUGAUGUUGUAGGAUUACUUUUUUCUUGUCAAAAAUAAAUAAAUGAUGUUGUAGGAGAAACAUUAUUAUAAACAUUAUUAUAACUUACAAGGACUAAUGUUUAAAAAAAAAAACUUACAAGGACUAAUAAUGAGACAGAACGAAAGUGUACGUGAGUGUAGGAGACACGUUAUUAUAACAUUUUAUAAAUAUUUAAACGUUGAUAAUAAUUUUGUCGAUCUAUAAACCACUACCAAUUCCUAGUUAAAUAUAUAAUAAUUUUUAUUAUAUUUGUUAGUUGAUGGUAAAAGAUGAAUAUAAUUUGUUACUAUAUUUUUUUUUGACAAAAUAAUUUGUUGCUAUUUAAAAUUCAUAAAUAUAGUCUAUACAUAUAAUUUUAAUAAAAAUAAAAAUUCACCCAAAAAAAAAUCAAAAAUUUCAUAAAAAAAUAAAUAUUGUUUAUAAUUCACGAGCGUUGUCGCAGUACAAAAAUGGAUAGAUGGAUACCCAGUACUAGUAAUUAAUGAAGUUAAUUGGUAAAAUUUCACUCUUACUGGUGGUUGAUGGUAGGGGUGUUUACGGUGCGGUUUGGUUCGGUUUUGAGAGAAAAAGUCAUCCAAACCGCAAGAUAAAAAAACAUGCGGUUUGUGUAACACCCACAGCUGACGAGGGCAGGGGAGUGGUCACCGGUGCACAAGGCACGCCAAUGAGCGGCUCCCGACAGCUUCUAGAGGAACCGAAUCACAUCUGAAUGAGAGGGAUCCUGAGGCCGUGUAGGUGUGGGACUACAUGAAUGAAGGAAUGCUUAUAAGAAUUGUUUGGUAAUACCUAUAUCAACAAGGUGCAUCUUCUUUUUGGUACCCUAUUCCAUAAGAACUCCACAGUUAAGCGUGCUUGACUUGGAGUAGUCUUUGGAUGGGUGACCUACCGGGAUUCCCGAUAAGCAUGCGAGUGAGGACAAAACACGCUGAAAAGACUCGUGUUGGUUUGUAGGGUCAGUCGACAAUGCUUAAAGUCGUCUGGGAUGUUACAGUUUGGUUUGGUUCGGUUGGCUUUAAAAUAAAAUCCGAACCAAACCAAACCAAUAUGGUUUGGGUUGUAUCGGUUGGUGCGGUUUUUUUCGUGACGAUACGAUUUUUUGUUUCCAACAUUAAAAUCAAGAUAAAAAGCUGAAACACAAUAUAUUUUCAACAAUGUUUUAAAUUUCAUCAAACAUUACAAUUUCAUUUUCAUUACAAUGUUUCCAACAACAUAAACCAAAUUAAAAACGCGGACAAAAAGUAAUCUUAUUUUGUAAGAAAUGCAAAAGACUGAGAUGUUCUCAUUCUCUAAAAGUUAAGUAGCACAUAAAUACAUUUUUAAAUAAAAAGCAAAUAAUGAACUUAACAAGAGAAAAAAAAUAUGACAUUUUAUAAAAGUUUUCAUUGAGUUUCUAUGAGUAUUGGUCUUGAUGACAUAUGUUUAAUUAACAUUUUUCUUAUGUUAUGGUUUGGUUUGGUUUUGUAUCUAUUUGACAGUCUCUUUGUACUUUGAGCGACCUCUUUAGUACGCCUUAUGCUAAAGAGGUGUCUCUCUUAUUGUGAAUAUAUAUCAUUUUACCUUCUUAAAAAAAAGUUAAUUGGUAAAAAAAAAAAAAAUUUCUCUCUUGAUUUAUAUGAAAUGACAUUUUUUUUUGGAACAUGGAGGGUAUUGAUUUUUACACCUUUUCAAAAGCCACUCAAGGAUGAAUAUAGAUUUUUCAUGCAUCAAACACAAGAAUCAUUAGCAUAACAUGCUUUGGAAAACACACACAUAUACUUAAAUUAAUGGUUGGAGUAUCAAAUUUAAAAAUAUUGUUGUCAAUACAUACCCCGUCAAUCCUCCUUUUUUACCCAAUAAACAUUGAAAUGUUGCUUCUUUCGUUAAGCAUAAAAACAUCAAAGUCUAGCAAAAUGUUGUUUUUGCGAUGACACAUUUCAUAUAGUUUAAAGGAUGCAUGAUUCGAUUACAAAAACAAAAUACUAAUAAUUCUAGCACAAAGUUUAAAGCUAAGAUUAUAAAGCUUCAUAGCAUGUGGAUAUUCAUUUAGAAAUAUAGGAUUAGGAUUGCCCCUUUCAUCACGGGUCUAAUAGCACCACUUGUCACUACAUGUUAAAAAUGUCCUCUAGUACAACACCGCUUUUUACUUGAUUCCCCUUGUCCAUGAAAAAAUCAAACAAUAUUUGGACACAAAAAUUUGCCCCCACUUUCCUUUUUCUUCUGCCCUAGUUUGUUUGAAAACUCAUAUUGAUCAAAUUUGGCUAUGAAUUCAAACAAAAAAUUCACUCUGCCCAUUGCAUGUGUGGGACCCACAUAUAAAUCCAUGAAGGAUUUCAAUGUCCAUCCAAGUCAAUGAUUCAACAUAUAACAUUGAAUAAUUUAAUUCCAAUUUGCAGUAUUAUGAUUUAGAUUGAUUGCUGCAAUACGGUCCGUGAAUGUAACUCACGAGAAAGAGGUAUCAAGGUAUUUUAUUUUAUUUUUAACAAAUAAAAUUUCAAGGUCUUGUUCACCAUAUAAACCUCCUCACUCUCACUCAAUUCUCUUAAGUGUAUGACUUCAUAGUAAACUACACUACUUUCUUUAAAACAUGGCUAACUAUGCUAUAGCCAAUGUUUUGAUCCUUCUCUUGAACUUGAGUACCUUACUCAAUGUUCUUGCUUGCCCUUAUUGUCCUUACCCAAGCCCUAAACCACCUUCACACCACCCUCCUAUUGUUAAGCCACCAGUUCACAAACCACCAAAGCAUUCUCCUACUCCUAAACCACCAGUUCAUAAACCACCAAGAUAUCCUCCUAAACCAUCACCUUGUCCACCCCCAUCAUCAACACCAAAACCACCUCAUCAUCCCAAACCCCCAGCAGUACACCCACCACAUGUUCCAAAACCACAUCCACCUUAUGUUCCAAAACCACCAAUUGUUAAACCUCCAAUAGUACAUCCACCUUACGUACCAAAACCCCCAGUUGUGAAACCACCACCAUAUGUCCCUAAACCACCUGUUGUGAGACCACCCUAUGUUCCUAAACCACCAGUUGUACCUGUAACACCACCUUAUGUUCCUAAGCCACCAAUUGUUUUCCCACCACAUGUUCCUCUACCUCCAGUUGUACCAUCACCACCACCUUAUGUACCAACACCUCCAAUUGUGAAACCACCAAUUGUUUUUCCACCACAUGUUCCUCUACCUCCAGUUGUGCCUGUAACACCACCUUAUGUGCAACCACCACCUAUUGUAACUCCACCAACACCAACACCUCCAAUUGUGACACCACCAACACCACCUAGUGAAACACCUUGUCCUCCACCACCACUUGUACCUUAUCCACCACCACCAGCACAACAAACAUGUUCCAUUGAUGCUUUGAAGUUGGGUGCAUGUGUUGAUGUGCUUGGUGGACUCAUACAUAUUGGUAUAGGUGGAAGUG